AGAACGAACGCUGGCGGCAUGCCUAAUACAUGCAAGUCGAACGAACACUUCGGUGUUAGUGGCGCACGGGUGCGUAACGCGUGGGAAUCUGCCCUUGGGUUCGGAAUAACAGUUGGAAACGACUGCUAAUACCGGAUGAUAUCGAAAGAUCAAAGAUUUAUCGCCCAGGGAUGAGCCCGCGUAGGAUUAGCUAGUUGGUGAGGUAAAGGCUCACCAAGGCGACGAUCCUUAGCUGGUCUGAGAGGAUGAUCAGCCACACUGGGACUGAGACACGGCCCAGACUCCUACGGGAGCAGCAGUAGGGAAUAUUGGACAAUGGGCGCAAGCCUGAUCCAGCAAUGCCGCGUGAGUGAUGAAGGCCUUA
rnacentral:rRNA from 1 species